GGCCAGGUUUAUGAAGGGAAGCGCUUGGAGGAUGGUCUUGAGGUGGCAGUGAAAAUUGUCAAAAAGUCAAAGAACAUGGAAUACAUCAGAAUUUUGCUGUCAAAACCCAAAUUUAAUGGACUGGAGAAGAUCAAAACAUGGACAUACAUGGCUGCUACGGGACUGAAUGUGACCCCUGGACCGGAUUACGCACAGGUACUCUGUUUCUCUGUCCAGGUCGUAUCCAGAUUGAGUCGACGCGGCUGAAAAGCAUCAACCAUUUGAGGAAAAUGAGAUGCCGAUGAGAAAGAGGACAAGGACGGGAAGUUUUGUGAAGCUGCCGUCUCUUCAUUAUCGCAGCUCAGACCAGACCACUGCACCGAUAAAUGAGAGAAGUGCUGAGGGUUUUCCCGCAGCCUGCCGGAUCCAGGCCGUAUCCAGAUCUGACGAGGACCUUAGCCUGGACACGAUGACAAUGACAAUGCAGUGCUGAAGUGCCAACUAGCCUCUCCCUAUGGAGGAUCCCUUUCCCACUCUACAGAUUAAGCGAUGUGAAUUCGUUUCGCGUCCCUACCCUGAAGUGAUUCGAAAAUCUGUAUCAAAUUUAUAGACAAGAAGUUUGUUCAGGCAUGAGGGAAUUUAAAAACCUGCGCGCAUAUAUUCAAACGCACAUAACUAUUGAAUCAAUUCUUAAUGCGCAUGUGAACGUCAUCAGCAGGGCUGUUACUACCAAUUUAUCACAGGUUCGCGUUUAAAGUCUAUUUAGAAACAUUCAUAUACAUUUUUACGUGACAGUUACUGUAAAUUCGGCCUCUAGUUCAUAAACGCCAGAGGAGAACUGGCCCCCGACUGAGCCUGGGUUCUCCCAAGGUUUUUUUUCCUCCAUCGGGUCACCUGAUGGAGUUUUUCAGUUCCUUGCCACUGUCGCCUUUGGCUUGCUCAGUUGGGGAUAUUCAAAUCAAUUAUACUACAGGGCUGUUGAACGCUUGAUUCUGAUUGGUUGAGAACGUUCUAAAGGUGUGCAAUUAUUUUGACGGCUAAAGUAGUUUCAGGCAAGUUUGAACCGCAUUACAGUUCCAUAUCACUGCGCGUAGUUAACGGAAAAUAGGAUACAAUUCAUAACAAGAGAAGACAUGCAGCCCCAUGCGCUUGAUCUGCAAUUUUCGAUGUCUAACUUCACAAUCAAUGACACAUACAGUUUAAUUUUAAUAAAUAAAGUAUAGUCCUAUCUAUAAUAGGCUAAAUAGAAAAUUAAACUGAAUAGGCUAUAUAAAUAAAUUAAUAGUCCUACUGCACGGAUUUUCGUAAUUAUUCCAGAUAAUAUAACAAAUAAAUAAUUAUUGCUAGG